GAACCGAAGGGGGGAAGUGAAGUAAGAGGGUACGAGCCUACUUCCUCGUAGCUCCCACAACCAAAACAAUAUUCGUGCGCAAUGGGUGAGUCUGCAUCCCCGAAAGGACAUUUUCUCAUCUAACACUUGGCGCACAUUGUCGGGGAGCACCACUGCACCAUGCUUCAGCUGAACGACACGGUGGAGCCGGACAGUCCGGGCGCUGCGAUUCUCCACACCGCAGAAACGGAGGAGGGGGUCGAGGUCGCCUUCACGCCGCCGGAGGCCGGACGAAGCCUCGGACACGGAGCCUCCGUGGCCUGCUGCCCUCCGUUACAAACGCUGACGCCUUUUCAUGUGCACAACCCCACAAUCCAAGCGAAAGUGAAGGACUACUUCGUGUUCAGGCCAGGUACCAUCGAGCAGGCGGUGAGCGACAUCAGGACGGUGGCGCUGCCCUCUGAGGAUGGAGAGGUGCUCAGCGUGUGGCUGCUGGCAGAAAUCGACCACUGGAACAAUGAGAGGGAGAGACUUGUGCUCAUAACUGAUAGGUCGCUGCUGGUGUGCAAGUACGACUUCAUCAACCUGUUGUGUCAGCAGGUCGUCAGGGUCUCCCUCAACGCUGUGGACACCAUCUCAGUGGGCGAGUUUGAGUUCCCACCCAAAUCCCUAAACAAAAGAGAAGGCUACGGGAUACGUGUCCAAUGGGACAAACGUCCACGGGCCUCGUUUUUAAACCGCUGGAACCCCUGGUCGACGGACAUGCCCUACGCCACCUUCACAGAGCACCCCAUGGCCCACGCUGAUGAGAAGGUGGCCUCUCUCUGCCAGUUGGACAACUUCAGGACUCAGCUGGUGCAGGCAGUUAAGAAAGCCCAUAAGGAGCACCCCAUCCCCGGUCGAGCUAAUGGUGUCCUGAUCCUGGAGAGACCCCUGCUCAUCGAGACCUAUCUGGGCAUCAUGUCCUUCAUCAAUAAUGAGGCCAAGCUGGGCUACUCCAUGACCCGUGGGAAGAUCGGCUUCUAAGGUGAACUGUUCCUCCACCUUACAACAGAGUUUAACCCAUGUGUCUGUGUUAACACUGUGCUGUGUGAGGGAAGCUGUCAGUCCACUACAGUCUAAUGUGCAACCAAUCUUCAGCUCAUGAGAAGUCUACAACUCCAGAGAUUGGUGUUGCAGACAAGUGGUCAGCCUGCUGGAGGUAAAUGAUGCACAGCAUUGCAUGGACCGUGUACUUGUUUUUGUGUCCCCAGUCCAUUUCCUUCCAAGAGCUGCUCCCAGAUCUGCAAACACACAAGGGCCCUCAGGAGUGUAUGCCCAUGUGACAUAAAUUGAUGAGAAAUGACACAGCAUUUGCAUCAGUUUAUCACCUCUGUACUUAUUCUUUAUUGAAAUCUUUAUUGUCAAAUGCUCCUUGUUUAACCACUAUCAAUGCUAAUGUAAUGUUUAGAUUUGGUGGUGGAAUGCAAGCUUAAAGGUUGUCAUUUCUGGUUUAAAGAUGUGCUUUUCUGCAGGAAAGAAUGCCAUUCACAGGAGAGCAUUGAUGCUUUAACAUCUGCUGAGAAUAUGUACCACAUUUGCUUAAUUAAUAUGGUAUGAAAAGAAGGAUUGCACUAUUCAGAUCAAAUGUUCAGUGACCCACUUUUAUUUUAUUUCCGAGGACCAGUGUUGAGUGUGAAGCAGUUUGGAUGAGUGGUUCUCGAGGAAGCUGCAAAGAAGAACGUCACCCUGCAGAGCUGGAGAGAGAGCCCCUGCAGUUCUACACCGACACUUUUCUAGGAAGAAAUGAUUGGAAAAUAAAUACCUGAGCCCAACCCUUGUGAUCAAGGCAGUAUCAUAACACAUGAGCUCCAGGUUCGUUCACCUUUACAGCUGAAACAGUGACCUCCUGCUGCCAACAUGUAAAUGUUGCCUUGUGAAACCUAAAUAAACCUGAUGAUAAAAACACUACAGUGUGCUGGUCCUGUGCUACAUCUGAGAACAAAAUAAAGGAGCUGUGUAUCCCAGCUGUGUGAGGGUUCCAACUCUCGGUGAGCAAGCAUGUUACCUUCAGUUGGAACCUGGACAGAUACGCAGCCCGCUGGGGACCACAAAUAGAGUUUGCUGUUGCCAGUACACAAUGCCAGCCGGGGGCGUCUGGGGUCCCACUGGAAGCAACGCACAGCUGAUGUCUGUUCAAGCACAGCCUCCAGGCUCAUCUUCUGCAUGUCCCAUACCCAGACAACACUGGCCAUGUUGUCUACAGUCACAGAAACACAGAGGCACACAUAAAGCCACUAACUUUGCGGCAAAAGAAGUCACCUCCAAAGUAAAAAAAGAAACAAAGUCACCCCCCACCCCACCCAAAGAAAAGUUGGGUUUGCAAUGAAUGUAAAAUGAGCAGCUGUGAAGUCUUACCGUUUUUGGUGGCCAGAUAACGACUGUCUGAGCUGAAUGCCAAAGUAGAGACACCAAUCUUGGGGUUGGCACGGUCUGGGUCUGGUUUGACCACAGGAAUUUGAACUGGCAGCGAGCAGAUCUCAUCUGGAGAAGGCAACCACAACGAAUGAGUGUUUAUGAUUCGACAAAGUUGGUUACUCCAAGUCCAAUACUGUAAUUUAUUAAUUGCAAACGCUGACAUACAUUUGCUUUGGGUAUUGAAGAGGGUGGUGCCAAUUGUGAUGUUGUGCAGAGACAGGUCAUCGCUGCCAACAGCUGGCCUUCUCUCCACUUCCUUAUACACAACCUAGAGACACAACAAACCGUAAGCAAUUAAACUGCAAUGUCCUCAAGGCUCUUCAUAAAAGUUGAAAAUACUCACAGCUUUUGUGUUGUUGAUGGCUGCUGGGUGCUCAAACUGUGUGACUUUCUUCCAUGUGAUAUGAUUGAGGAUGCGCACCUGACAAGAGGGAAGUAAAAUAUUAACGAAUGCACACAACAAAUUACAAACCACAGAAACAUGAUUGACACUUUUAAGUUUAUACUAUUCAUUUGUUACAGAAAUGAGUGAAUCCAUUUCUUAAAGGGGAACUCCACCAAUUUAAGUAUUUAUUUAUUUAUUAACCUAUUCUUGAAAAAUCAGAUUGAAAACAAUCUGUGGUUGUGGAGUCAGAAAGAUGAAAAAUGCAAGUUUAUCAGACCUCUGUAGCCCAUUCCUCCAUUGCUGCUUGAGGCUAACAGCUCAAGGCUACAUUAGCUACUAUUACCUUAACACAUGCAGAUCACUGCAUGAACUGUUGGCGGUCAAGUUUCACUGUGGGUAAUGAAGGUAUCAGGUUUUGACUUUAGUCAGACAGUGUUAAAUGAGUGGAGUACUCUUUUAAGAUGUGGCUUUGCAGUGCUUGUACGUUGUGUUAGUUACAUUUUAUCAAGCUAUAAAGUGAUAUUUUAUAUCUCACUGUCAUCAGACAGACAUAAUUUUUUAAGAAGUUUCUCCAUACUUUUUCAUCGUAGCUGCCAAUGGCCAGGAACUGGCUGCUGGGGCUCCAGGUCACAGACUUGACACCCAGCGACCACUCAUAGGCACUGUAGGUUGACAGUAACCGGCCGUCCAAAGAAUACAGUACCACCUUGUACUGUGCAGAUGAUACACACACAUGAAACCAUUAUGUCCCCACGAGGCUUUGUCAAGCGGAAUAUUGCAGUGCUUUGACAAUAAGGAUGGAUCACAACAUUAACAGGUGAUUUCUUCAAAAUGUGUCACUUACUUCACACUUACAUUACAGGAGGAUUUGACAGGAUGUCAAGGUUUUUUUCUGUUGCUGCUUCUAUGUGUAGUAUAUUCUCAACAACCUUAUAAAUAUGCACACUUUGUAAAUGUACUAUACACUGAUGAUAAGAACAAACAUCUACUGCUGUCAGUCAUCUGCACUUUACGUGUAUUUGUUAAUAAGUAUAAUAUGAUGCAAAAAAGGACGUUGCACAUAACAAACAGACCUCAAAUUCAAACUGUUGAAAUGUGGUUUGACUAAUGAUGGCUGAAGUAAUCUAUCACGUUUUCUUGUUGUACUUUGAGGUUAUAAGACAACUGACUCACCUCCAGACAGCUAUCCCACACUGCCAGCACACAGCCAUUAGGAGACCACUCCAACCCUGCCAAGUCCUGAGUCUCAGUCUCAAAAUGCUGUGACAGAUUUAAGUUAAACCACAAUGAAUUUAUAAUAUACAUUUACAAAAACUAAAUAAAACAUAAACAUGUGCCUCAAAAGACGGAGUAACAAAUAAUGAACAUGUUCAUGCUGUCAAGGAAUAAAAAAGUAUUUUGUUUGUCCUCAAUGCGUCUCUGAAAACAUUUGCAUGGCAUCUCAAAUGAUAAAAGCUUACUGUCCAUCUUGAUCAGUUUUAUUAAAUUACAUUCUUACUGCACAUCUUUCUGGCUUCUUCCACCGUUUCUUACUUAUUUAACUUAAAUAUAAAUGUGUAAUCACUGUCAUAAAACUCAAGUCAAAUUCUAAUGUCAUCCUUACCCUGAGUAAAUGCCAGUCGUCACAUACAAAUACACUAACAUAGUCUUUGCAAUCACGGCGUUCAGCCAAAGCCAUAUAGCAGCCAUCUCUGCUGAAAUCCAUACCUGUGGGAGAAAGAUGACAGGAUGACAGCUAAGAUUUUACAGGCAAUCACAAGUUAUGGCAACUAGUUACAAGUAUCAUAAAAAAGUUAUUUCACACAAAAAAAAAAAUCA